rnacentral:sRNA from 1 species
AUGGACCACGCGUACAUCGCGGUUCUGCGCGCGCCGUGCAUGGCCAGCUGACGCUUGCUCGCUACGGUGUUGCAGCC